UCACUUGAAAGCUAGUUUUCAUGCCCAGCACAAUAGCUGAAGUCAGGAUCCAUUUUGCAUGUGCUGUUAAGAGGGUUCAGAGCUGCCUUGUUGUAGGAGGAUGUAAGGGAGCAGGCAAUUACAGCCCACAGGUACAGGUAUCCUCCUACCCUGACAGGCUCCUGCACAAGUAUUUUUCUGUGAUUUUUUUGCUCAUGCAUUUGGGAAUGACUGGAUUUAUAGCAGUUCUCAGGAGAGGCAGGUACUUAGGAUUUGGAGACAUAAGAGCAAAUUCUUCUCUUGAACCCACAUGAUGGAUUGAAGAGGAGAAAUUAGCUGUAUGAAAUAAAGCCAGCUUUGGAUGAACUUGAAAGGAGAGCUGACACCAGCAUGUACAGGCAAAAGCAAGCCAUAUGAGGAAAGAGCUUGGCAAAUAGAGCCAGAACAUUGUCUCCAUUUUUUUACUACUCUUACCUUCUUCGAGUGACUGACCCCAGAAGACCUGAGGUUUCUGUUUCCUAAAGUUUCCAGUUGAAUAUUUGUCCCGUGAGGAAUGUUAGCUAUGGAUUCCUAAUGAGAACAGAGACAAUGUGGCUCUGCCUUCUGCAUCAGCAUUUCCAAGAUCAGACAAGUACAGAGAGGUGUAAUAUUCCUCCCCUCCUUACCUUGCCUUCAGCCAGCAAACUUCUCUUCUGCACUUGAUGAGUAGAGGAAAAAAGAGGAGAUGGAUAUGUAAGUAUGAAAGAAGAGCAAUUUAUUGCUUACCUAGAAAAAUUCCUCAGCAGAUUAGGGCCACUGGAUCUCAAGCAAAACCUGGGUCUGAUGUCUGAAGAUGUUGAACCACAUGGUCAUCUUUGCGUGUGGAGCCUGAGGUUCUGCUGAUGCCCUGAGAACCUGCAUGAGAUGGGAACAUCGUCCAGCACAUUUGCUCCACAAAUAACAGUGUAAUCAACAGUCAAGGGCUCAGCCUCAUCUACCCUUGGCCAUCAGACACUGAUGGCAAGCUCCCAUCCUUACCCAUCCAGUGGGCCAUCUGUCCAGGAACAAUUUACCCUUCAAACCCAACUGCUUAUAGAAAAAGUUCAUGUGGCUCAAGGCCUUUGAAAACCAUGGGGUGGCAAUUUUCUGUACAAAAUGCCAUGCUUAGUGGUGGAAAAUAUUUUGUAGUAAGUUUAUUCACAAUUAUUCCUGUUUAACUGAAAUAGAAAUGUAUAGUCUAUUAUUUUGAUUAUCUAAGUACUGCUGCUGCACUAGGAAAAGCGAUUCGCCCAGCAGCAGGGGGUUCACAAGCUCUUCCCACUACUUUACAUUCUGCUUUGAGCAACAUCCAAACUCAAUUUAACAUUUGGUUUGUUACGAGGUAAUGGUUUUCUUACUCUAAAUCUUAUCUGCCCAGCUGCAAUUUUUAUAUUUUCUUCUGACUGUAUUAGUCACAUAAGAUUGAAGAACAUGAGAAUUUAGUAAAUCUUUCAGAGUUUAAGAUUACAAAGAGUGGAAUUUGUUUCAUCAGUCAACUUUAUUAAUGAUCUGCAGUCUGAACUGGAUUUGAAAUUGAAGGGAAUAGCACUCACUAACAAAAAAAAAAUUAAAUGCACCAUGACAAACAUUUUAUCUAUUAAUGUCUGCUAUUUUUCAGUUACAAUAACGGAAAUUAAUUAAAUGUAAAACAAAGAGUGAAGAAAAAAUAAAGUCUUUCUCUUUAUUUCUCUCCUUUUCCAUUGUUGCUCAAACAAGAUAUUAAGGUAUACAUUGCCAUUAAAAAUUUGGUUUAUGAUCUUUAUUCAAGCAGUACUCCAAUAAAGGCAGAAAAAU